rnacentral:rRNA from 1 species
GACGAACGCUGGCGGCGUGCUUAACACAUGCAAGUCGAACGGUAAGGCCCUUCGGGGUACACGAGUGGCGAACGGGUGAGUAACACGUGGGUGAUCUGCCCUGCACUUCGGGAUAAGCCUGGGAAACUGGGUCUAAUACCGGAUAGGACCACUGCCUGCAUGGGUGGUGGUGGAAAGCUUUUGCGGUGUGGGAUGGGCCCGCGGCCUAUCAGCUGGUUGGUGGGGUGAUGGCCUACCAAGGCGACGACGGGUAGCCGGCCUGAGAGGGUGACCGACCACACUGGGACUGAGAUACGGCCCAGACUCCUACGGGAGGCAGCAGUGGGGAAUAUUGCACAAUGGGCGCAAGCCUGAUGCAGCGACGCCGCGUGAGGGAUGACGGCCUUCGGGUUGUAAACCUCUUUCAGCACCGACGAAGCGCAAGUGACGGUAGGUGCAGAAGAAGGACCGGCCAACUACGUGCCAGCCGCCGCGGUAA